rnacentral:rRNA from 1 species
AGCUCCAAUAGCGUAUAUUAAAGUUGUUGUGGUUAAAAAGCUCGUAGUUGGAUCUCAACAGCCUUGAAGCGGUUAACUUUGUAGUUUUACUGCUUUGUAGGCUGUGCUUUUGCUGGAGGUUUAGGGGUGCUCUUGAUCGAGUGUCUCUGGAUGCCAGCAGGUUUACUUUGAAAAAAUUAGAGUGCUCAAAGCAGGCUAAAAUGCCUGAAUAUUCGUGCAUGGAAUAAUAGAAUAGGAUGUCGAUCCUAUUUUGUUGGUUUUCGGGACUCGACAUAAUGGGAAAGCACUUGCCAAGAAUGUUUUCA